CAGCAGAGGAUUCCAAAACGGACCCGCCCUCAAGCCGCCACAUCCGCGUGACAGUCACCUCCGUUUUGGCUACGCGCACGGAACACGACCCGCCUCCGCCAGCGCGCCUUCGUGCAGCGGGUCUGCGGCGGACUCCGUGCGGAUACGCACAUCGAACGCGCCCUUUCCAGUCCUAACGGCUUCCUCAGUUUUCAAAUUUCUCGUUGAUGAAGUGGAAGACGAAACAGCGGCGUCUGAAGGCACACUGUCAUUCACAAGUGGCCACAGUCUGGUUUGGGGGUCUACGCUUUCUCGUCCUGUCCUGCCACCCAAGUAAAGUUAUUCACAAGUGGCUCCAGUCUGGUUUGGAGGUCUAUGCUUUCUCAUCCUGUCCUGCCAUUCAAGUAAAGUCAUUCACAAGUGGCUUCAGUCUGCUUUGGGGGUCUAUGCUUUCUCAUCCUGUCCUGCCACCCAAGUAAAGUUAUUCACAAGUGGCUCCAGUCUGGUUUGGGGGUCUACGCUUUCUCAUCCUGUCCUGCCAUUCAAGUAAAGUUAUUCACAAAUGGCUCCAGUCUGGUUUGGGGGUCUACACUUUCUCAUCCUGUCCUGCCACCCAAAUAAAGUGCUGUGAGGAAAAACACAGAAACAUGGUCAGCCAACGACGCGGUGGUCACGAAGUACGCAAUCAGGUGGUUCAACGAGGAGACCUGUCCUGCCUCCAGCCACACCAAACGGAUUAAUAGGAGAAAUAAACAUUAAACAUUGAACUAAUUGUCGUUCACCAGUUAUUCAUUUUCUGAUAUUUUAGCUGUGCAUAUAUAUAGCGCAGCAUUUCAUUGAAGUUGUAGCCUACUGGUAAUAGGUAAAAUGUUUCAUGUCUGCACCGACCUAGGCCUAUAAAGCACUAAAUUAGUUUAGAGUAGUUAGAAUUUAGAGUAGUAUAGCCAAGGCUACUUAACAGAAACAGAAUAGGCUAUAACUUAAACUUUCCAUUAAUGUAAAUGUCAAUUUCAUGUUUCCAUUGAGCCAAGUGAUUAUUCUCUACAGUAAAUUGAUGUCUUGACUUAAG